rnacentral:rRNA from 1 species
ACUCCUACGGGAGGCAGCAGUGGGGAAUAUUGGACAAUGGGGGCAACCCUGAUCCAGCAAUGCCGCGUGUGUGAAGAAGGCCUUCGGGUUGUAAAGCACUUUCAGGAGUGAGGAAAGGGUUGUGGUUAAUACCUGCAAUCUGUGACGUUAGCUCCAGAAGAAGCACCGGCUAACUCUGUGCCAGCAGCCGCGGUAAUACAGAGGGUGCAAGCGUUAAUCGGAAUUACUGGGCGUAAAGCGCGCGUAGGUGGUUGGUUAAGUUGGAUGUGAAAGCCCUGGGCUCAACCUGGGAAUGGCAUUCAAAACUGGUCGACUAGAGUAUGGUAGAGGGAAGGGGAAUUCCAGGUGUAGCGGUGAAAUGCGUAGAUAUCUGGAGGAACAUCAGUGGCGAAGGCGCCUUCCUGGACUAAUACUGACACUGAGGUGCGAAAGCGUGGGUAGCAAACAGGAUUAGAUACCCUGGUAGUCCACGCCGUAAACGAUGUCAACUAGGUGUUGGGGGGUUUAACCCCUUGGUACCGCAGCUAACGCGAUAAGUUGACCGCCUGGGGAGUACGGUCGCAAGAUUAAAACUCAAAGGAAUUGACGGGGGCCCGCACAAGCGGUGGAGCAUGUGGUUUAAUUCGAUGCAACGCGAAGAACCUUACCUACCCUUGACAUUGACAGAAUCCACUAGAGAUAGAGGAGUGCCUUCGGGCCUGGAAAACAGGUGCUGCAUGGCUGUCGUCAGCUCGUGUCGUGAGAUGUUGGGGUUAAGUCCCGCAACGAGCGCAACCCUUGUCCUUAGUUGCCAGCACGUUAUGGUGGGAACUCUAAGGAGACUGCCGGUGACAAACCGGAGGAGGGUGGGGAUGACGUCAAGUCAUCAUGGGCCCUUAUGGGAUGGGCUACACACGUGCUACAAUGGGAGGGUACAAAGAGCACCCAACUGGCAACAGUGCGCGAAUCUCAAAAAACCUCU